rnacentral:rRNA from 1 species
UACAUGGGGUGCAAACGUUGCUCGGAAUCAUUGGGCGUAAAGCGCGCGUAGGCGGUUACUUAAGUUGGAUGUGAAAGCCCUCGGCUUAACCGAGGAAGUGCAUCCAAAACUGAGUAGCUAGAGUACGAAAGAGGGUCGCGGAAUUCCCGGUGUAGAGGUGAAAUUCGUAGAUAUCGGGAGGAACACCGGUGGCGAAGGCGGCGACCUGGGUCGAGACUGACGCUGAGGCGCGAAAGCGUGGGGAGCAAACAGG